GUAAAGGGUGGUAUGCUAAUCAAGACCAGCCUCUGAAGUGAAAAGUAGAAAGCUGAAGAGCCAACUGUUUUCUCGGCAACUCCCUUCAACGUGCCAUAGGUUCAACACAUACGACUGACCUCCUGGCCGUCCACUGUCGCCGUCUUCUUUGAGAAUGAAAGCUCCUUCAGGACAGGGGCCUUGUCCUCCACUGCGCCCCAAGUGCCUAGCACUGCCUCUGUCAUCUAGUGGGCGCUGAACAAAUGUCCUAAACGUCACUGAACUCCUUACAGACUAAUCAGUCCUCGAAAAUCACGUUAGAAAUCGAAGAGUCACUCCAAUUGCUUCCUUUAAUUUGUCCCUGGAGUGAAGAGACUGCCGCAUCGGGUUGAUUCUAUGCGUGCAACGUCUUCCACGUUUAUCUUCCCUGGUGUGCACUAGCAGCAUGCUCACUCUAUCUCAGCUGCUUCCUAACUGGUCUCCUCAUUCUUCCAAAUCCCCUUCCAAACUUGCACCAGGGUUUGUUCCCAAAUACACGAGCUCCAGAGGUUCCAAGAUCUUCACGUCAGAGUCAAAGCUCUCAGGGACCUGGCCAUAACCCAUCUUGCUAGUCUCACUUCACCGUGCUGCCCCGUCCGUCCUCUGCUCCAGCUCCAUGUUCUGUUACAGAGAGCACAGUUCCUGCCUCUCAAAGUCCCAUGGAAAGCUGGCAGUCAAACAGGUCAUUCACAUACCAGACACAGACUGAGACUGAAUACGUGCGGAGCAUACCUUUCUGACUACUCACAGCCAAUGUUCAACAAGCUCUUCUAAGACUCUUAUGACCUGGGAAAAAACACUCAACGAUGAGCAACUAUCUAUGUAAUAAAGCAAAAAAGUAUCUAUUA